UACGUAGGGGGCUAGCGUUGUCCGGAAUCAUUGGGCGUAAAGAGCGUGUAGGCGGCUCGGUAAGUCCGCUGUGAAAGUCGGGGGCUCAACCCUCGAAUGCCGGUGGAUACUGUCGGGCUAGAGUGCGGAAGAGGCGAGUGGAAUUCCUGGUGUAGCGGUGAAAUGCGCAGAUAUCAGGAAGAACACCGAUGGCGAAAGCAGCUCUCUGGGACGGUACUGACGCUGAGGCGCGAAAGCGUGGGGAGCGAACAGG
rnacentral:rRNA from 1 species